UUUCAAUUACGAACAAUGAAACAUUUUUCUUGUAAGUGAAUUUCUAUUAUAAUAGAAGUUUGUCAAAUACAUCUCAGUUGAGCAGAAAAUCUUCAGGCGAACAUCGACAUCAAAGUGAUACCAUACGGAUACCAAAAAAAUCCUAUGCAACCAAAAAGCAGAUAAUGACCACAGAUGUGCAACAGAGACUACCAGUACCUGAUCAUCAUAUGUUAUGGUGUAGAUCUCAGGAACAGGACACCUAAGUUGAACUCUGGCAAGGUUGUCCCAUGCAGAAGGUUUGAUACCCAGGCUUCUUUCUAUCCACUCUCAUCUUGAGAACUCUUGAGAUCUCUACAUCAGCACGCUACAUCACAAUGGAAAAUACAAGAAAACCAGCAGUGUGACUGAGAUGAUCAGCACAUUUUAGAGGCAUACCUUAUCUACAAGGCACUCUGCAUGUAGACUGGGAAUUGUGCACAAGGUAGUCAAUGGUCUCUCUGCCUUUCGCUUGAAAGCCCUAUUUUCCUUCACAUAUCACAAACUUGGGAGAACCAAGCCAGAAGCGACAUAGAUCCGUUUGUAUUUGCCCAACGCUCCGUCCCAAAGUUUAAUAAUGGAACUGGCUUCCAGCAAAUGUAUGCCGACAGUCCUGCCAGGUCGAACUGCAAGGGACUACUCCUGAGGCAUCUAAUGCCCUUAUCCCAUU